AUUGAACGCUGGCGGCAGGCUUAACACAUGCAAGUCGAGCGAGCGGCGGACGGGUGGGUCAUGUCUGGGCAUCUGCCUGAUGGAGGGGGAUAACUACUGGAAACGGUAGCUACUACCGCAUACCAUCAGAUGUGCCCAUAUGGGAUUUGCUAGUAGGUGGGGUAAUGGAUCACCUAGGCGACGAUCCCGAGCUGGUCUGAGAGGAUGACCAGCCACACUGGAACUGAGACACGGUCCAGACUCCUACGGGAGGCAGCAGUGGGGAAUAUUGCACAAUGGGCGCAAGCCUGAUGCAGCCAUGCCGCGUGUGUGAAGAAGGCCUUCGGGUUGUAAAGCACUUUCAGCGAGGAGGCGUUACUCGCAGAAGAAGCACCGGCUAACGCCGUGCCAGCAGCCGCGGUAAUUC
rnacentral:rRNA from 1 species